CUCAGGAUCUGCCGUAAAUUUGUGUGUGAGGCUGAAUUCAUAGCUCGAGGACAGUCUCAGUGGCUCCUUGUAAUGAUCUAAAUAUAGACACCUCACCUCCAGUUCAGAGCAGAGGAACGAUGCUGCUUUGCUGACUCCUUGCUGUGGCAUGCUUGGUCCAAGGCCAGAGGAUGAGUUCAAGACUCCCUGGGAUGCUACCAUUAUGAGAGGAGAUAAAAAUGAAGAGUGUGGUGUGACUGACACAUUCCUAAGUGCAUGGCUGAAUGUGUCCAGGAGAUGGCUGGAUUAAAGGAUGACUAUGCUGUGCUGCAGGACUCUGUUGUUCCUGUAAGGCUCACCUUGCUAGAAAGGAGCUAAGGUGUCUUGCAUCCGUUCUUGGUUUGUGCACAGCUUUGGAGAACACGAGCUCUGGAUGUGAGCUGAAAGGUGGCUGGUAAAGAGGGCCUCCCCUCCCUGAGUUCUGGCUUCAGCAUCUGCCCACAGAUAUUUCCUGAAAUCUCAGGGAGCUCAGCCCGCACUGGCGAGAGAGUGUCCUCCCUGUUGGAUACAACUCAUCCCUGAGAUUAAGAGCAUCUGUCAACUGCAGGCACCAGACAAGUGAUGUGCAGAGAGAAGACUGAAAAAAAAAAAAAGAAGGAAACAGCAGCCAGAGAUUCUCUCUACAUCACCCUUCUCCCCUACGUCACUGGAAAUCCAAGGCUCAGAGAUGCGCUGGUUGGAACUUUCCAGUCUGCAGUCCCACCUGCCAUGGGCUAUAGAGGCAGAGGGACUGAGAGGGGCCAGGGAGGGCUCUUGCUUUCAUAGCAACCUUUCUUGUGAAGUUUCUGCCAGUGGUAGCAUCACUGAUCAAAUAUUCAUCAGACCAGCAAUGUGCCCAUCUCACUGAGCAAAGAUAAAAAUAAAUGACACACAUCUUCCUCCCAAGAAGCUCGUGGCCAAAUGCUUCAGUGCAAUAAGAUCUGAGCUAUUUGAAGGAUGUUUUCAGGACUGUAGGAGAAGUUGAUUUAGGAAGUUUCACAUUAAAAAGCCCUGCUCCCUCUUUUUUGAUACAUAAACAGCCAUAUUAAUCAUUAACAUUUACUGAUGCUUUCUCUGAAGUGGGCAAAGUUUUAAGUAGUUUAUGUGAAUUAACUCAGUUGAUCCUAUACUGAUCAAGACUCUAUUCUGGUGUGGAUAAGCAUGGACUAUAAUUAUUAUCCCCAUUUUAUAGAUAAGAAAAAAUCCCAGAGAUGCCAUGCAGCUUGCUCAUAGCACACAGUUUAUAAGUGGGGCAAAAUGGGAUUUGGACUUCAACAGUUUGGACUCAAAGACCUUAGUAACACAGGGGACCUGCUCAUCUGAACUUUCAGGGUUCUGUCUGGGGAAUUUUUGAGCAACUUCAGCUAAUGAUGUUGAGGUUGAUUUUGGCCCUUUGACUCCUUUCUGUACUCUGGUGAGUUGCAAGUUCUGAGUUUGGGUUGAUUUGCAGGGAAACUAAUUCAAUCUUAUGUGCAAGUACAACUGUAUGAUGGCUCUUUCUUGGCUUCCUGGGGAUCCCACUGUUGCUUUUAAGUGUGAUGAAUUUAUUCUGGUUUCAUAGGACAUCACUGGACCAACUAGCCAACCAUUUCCCUCAUAGGUGAGGGCUUUGAACUUUUUCAGAGUUUCACGGUUCACAAAAGCUUUUGUUCGCAAACAAUUUGGUUCAUAAACAGAAGUGUUUGGCAAAAUUUCAUUUUUGUUUUCAAACUCUACAUUGGGUGGGAAAGAUGGCUGUGGUCAUGUUUCCCACACAAACACAAAUGUCGCCAUCUUUUCCAAAAUUGUAGAACAAAUUAAGUUUGUGAACCGAGGUACCACUGUAUUAGAAAUGACAUCCCAUUACUUCUUUUUCCUAGAAAUGAGUCACCAUGUCCAGCCCACACUCAAAGGAGGGGGAAUUAUGGUUCCUCUUGAAUGGAGGAUCAUUAAAGACUUUGUUGGUAUCUCUUCUAAAACUGCUAGAGUAAUUUCACUCAGUUUCAAUUUGUCCUUUCCCUUGUAUUAUUAUUGGAUUUGUAUUUGUCUGGGCUGCACUGUUUAAAAAUGAAAAUUCUCUUCUCUUUUUUUUCCUUUUUCCCACCCUUGUAUCUCAGUACCCAACACACAGUUAUCACUUAAUAAAUAUUUAUUUAAUUAAUGAAUAAUCUUAAUUUAAAAAAAUCUUUGAUAAAAGAAGUCACAAUCAACUUUUGUAGAAUAUCAUUGAAUCUCAAUAUAUACAUGAACAUUCUUGCUGCUGGCCUUUUAAUUUCAGUUUGAGGGUAAGGCAUGGAGUCAGCAGUCCAUGAUUUUUUUCUUCAUUCAUUAAUCAAUCAUUUAUUGAGCACUUAUUCUAUGCUAAAAAGAGUGCCAGGUUCUGAGGAUGCAGAGAUUAAUAGCAUCCACAAUGCCUUUUAUAAAUUAAGAUGCCCAUGUUAAGUAUAUAAAGCAGUCUGGUGCUUUUUGAAUCAUCUUCAAACAUGAACGACAAUAGGCAGCUGUAUUAGAAUCAGACCCUUGAUAUUGAGUUUGCAGAAGCUGUUUUAUCAGCGCAGCAUGUUGCCCCAGCGAAGUGCAGUAUUUACAUUUCAUUCCAAAGUGGUUGUGCCAACAUCAAUCCUCUGGUUUUUGUACUUUUGGUCACUGUUUGCAAAUGUAUAAAAGGUUUUGUCAAAGGAGCUGGAUAAAGAUGGGAAGAGAAUGGCGUUACAUAUGACUAGCAGAGAUCGUAGAGUGGCUGAUGCUGGGAAGCAUUCUACUAAGGUCAGGGGGGCAUACGUGGAGAGCGAAGGUAAUGUGAAGAAAUGGAAUUGGGAACGAUGAAAUAGCAGCAAAGAUGGGCUUUAGCGGAAAUGAGUGCA
ensembl:lncRNA